GACGAACGCUGGCGGCGUGCUUAACACAUGCAAGUCGAACGGAAAGGCCCUGCUUUUGUGGGGUGCUCGAGUGGCGAACGGGUGAUUAACACGUGAGUAACCUGCCCUUGACUUUGGGAUAACUUCAGGAAACUGGGGCUAAUACCGGAUAGGAGCUCCUGCUGCAUGGUGGGGGUUGGAAAGUUUCGGCGGUUGGGGAUGGACUCGCGGCUUAUCAGCUUGUUGGUGGGGUAGUGGCUUACCAAGGCUUUGACGGGUAGCCGGCCUGAGAGGGUGACCGGCCACAUUGGGACUGAGAUACGGCCCAGACUCCUACGGGAGGCAGCAGUGGGGAAUAUUGCACAAUGGGCGGAAGCCUGAUGCAGAAACGCCGCGUGCGGGAUGACGGCCUUCGGGUUGUAAACCGCUUUCGCCUGUGACGAAGCGUGAGUGACGGUAAUGGGUAAAGAAGCACCGGCUAACUACGUG
rnacentral:rRNA from 1 species